ACUAUUAGGUUGGUGUAAAAGCAAUUGCGGUUUUUGCUACUAAAUAGCAAAAACCGCAAUUACUUAUGCACCAAACUAAAAUAU
rnacentral:miRNA from 1 species